AAAAAUUCGAUGAAAAAGAGAGUAAUUGAUGGGAGGACUGGCAAGCGAGUUAGGGAUGGUGGAAGCCUAAUGCAGGAACCAUGAAUGAAGCGCACUUUGGAGAAGAUUCUUGAACAAAUAGUAGAGAAUAGCGGGGCGUCACCUCGUUAACAACGGAAAGUGGUCAUGUCACAUGGCAACUAGAGUGGUACCACGGGAUUAUCAUGCUCUCGUCUCUAAU
rnacentral:ncRNA from 1 species